rnacentral:rRNA from 1 species
AUUGAACGCUAGCGGGAUGCUUUACACAUGCAAGUCGAACGUGUCGCGGACUUGUGUGUAUUAUAUCGGAACGUCCCCAGUAGCCCGGGAUAUCUUCUCGAACGCUUGGCUAAUACCGCAUACUAUUGUUGCGUCCGAUUUCGGCUGAGCUAGUUGGUGGGGUAAAGGCUAACCAAGGCAACGAUCCCUAGCUGGUUUGAGAGGACGACCAGCCACACUGGGACUGAGAAACGGCCCAGACUCCUACGGGAGGCAGCAGUGGGGAAUUUUGGACAAUGGGCGAAAGCCUGAUCCAGCCAUCCCGCGUGUAUGAGAAGGCCUUCGGGUUGUAAAGUACUUUUGGCAGAGAAGCGGUAACUGAAGAAAAAGCACCGGCUAACUACGUGCCAGCAGCCGCGGUAAUUC